UUAAGCUGAAGAGUCCCAAACCAGGACGAAACAGUUGUCCAGUAC
rnacentral:hammerhead_ribozyme from 1 species